rnacentral:lncRNA from 13 species
CAUCAAUGAUAGGCUCAUAUGAUAUGCUUGUAUGAUAUGCUACAUCAAUGAUAGGCUCAUAUGAUAUGCUUGUAUGAUAUGCUACAUCAAUGAUAGGCUCAUAUGAUAUGCUUGUAUGAUAUGCUACAUCAAUGAUAGGCUCAUAUGAUAUGCUUGUAUGAUAUGCUACAUCAAUGAUAGGCUCAUAUGAUAUGCUUGUAUGAUAUGCUACAUCCAUGAAAUGCUCGUAUAAUAUGCUACAUACACUGUACAUCAUAUGCUUGUAUGAUAUGCUACCAAUCCAAUUUGUACUACAUGUUAAUAAUAUCCUGGUAAUAUCCUGGAGUGCAUCUUUAACCCUAUAGGGUAAGAACUGGAGUGCAUCUUUAACCCUAUAGGCUAAGAACUGGAGUGCAUCUUUAAACCUAUAGGGUAAGAACUGGAGUGCAUCUUUAACCCUAUAGGGUAAGAACUGGAGUGCAUUUUUAUCCCUAUAGGGUAAGAACUGGAGUGCAUCUUUAACCCUAUAGGGUAAGAACUGGAGUGCAUCUUUAACCCUAUAGGGUAAGAACUGGAGUGCAUCUUUAACCAUAAAGGGUAAAAACUGGAGUUCAUCUUUAACCCUAUAGGGUAAAAACCGGAGUGCACCUUUAGCUCUAUAGCGUAAGGCACAAACUCACGAUUAGCUGUGAGGUCGGCUGUAGGAGCCCUUCCACUCUGUCACCCUCCCCAGGGACAGAAAGAAACGCCCUGCAGGGAGACCCGGUCCAGGGAACUGCCUUGUUCAGGGGCAGAACGACUGAUUUUUACCUUGUUCAACUCGGGGAUUCGAUCCAGCAACCUUUGAGUUACUGAUUAGCAUGUAUAACGGUGAUUACAUGAAUUCAGUUAGUGUUUAUAACGGUGAUUACAUGAAUUCAGUUAGGGUAUAUAGAGGUGAUUUACAUUAAUUCAGUUAGGGUUUAUAACGGUGAUUACAUGAAUUCAGUUAGCAUGUAUACAGUGAUUACAUGAAUUCAAUUAGGGUGGAUAACAGCAAUUACAUGAAUUCAGUUAGGGUUUAUAACGGUGAUUACAUGAAUUCAGUUAGGGUUUAUAACGGUGAUUACAUGAAUUCAGUUAGUGUUUAUAGUGGUGAUUACAUGAAUUCAUUGUUUAUAAUGGUGAAUACAUGAAUUCAGUUAGGGUUUAUAAUGUGAUUACAUUAAUUCAUUUAGGGUUUAUAACGGUGAUUACAUGAAUUCACUUAGUGUUUAUAAUGAUUACAUGAAUUCAG